UUUUGAUCUUGAAGUUAGAGCAGGAAUAAGUCUGUGUAAUUUGAUGGGAGAAUACUUCUUCUGAGGUGGCGGAACGUCAAAUCCCAUCAUGCUUAUUUAUAUCUUCGCUAUGAGAAGUUCAGAGAAGCUCCAUUGACUUCAACAGGAUUUCCAAGAUGUCAGAGGAAGUCAGCCAGGAAGACCUCCUUCCCAUUGUGUUAUUUUCUGUUACAGAAAUAGCUGCUACUAAGAAAACUAC
rnacentral:lncRNA from 1 species